rnacentral:rRNA from 1 species
GAUGAACGCUGGCGGCGUGCCUAAUACAUGCAAGUCGAGCGAACGGACAAGAAGCUUGCUUUUCUGAUGUUAGCGGCGGACGGGUGAGUAACACGUGGAUAACCUACCUAUAAGACUGGGAUAACUUCGGGAAACCGGAGCUAAUACCGGAUAAUAUUUUGAACCGCAUGGUUCAAAAGUGAAAGACGGUCUUGCUGUCACUUAUAGAUGGAUCCGCGCUGCAUUGGCUAGUUGGUAAGGUAACGGCUUACCAAGGCAACGAUGCAUAGCCGACCUGAGAGGGUGAUCGGCCACACUGGAACUUGGACACGGUCCAGACUCCUACGGGAGGCAGCAGUAGGGUAUCUUCCGCAAUGGGCGAAAGCCUGACGGAGCAACGCCGCGUGAGUGAUGAAGGUCUUCGGAUCGUAAAACUCUGUUAUUAGGGAAGAACAUAUGUGUAAGUAACUGUGCACAUCUUGACGGUACCUAAUCAGAAAGCCACGGCUAACUACGUG